rnacentral:rRNA from 1 species
UACGUAGGGUGCAAGCGUUAAUCGGAAUACUGGGCGUAAAGCGUGCGCAGGCGGUUUUGUAAGUCUGUCGUGAAAUCCCCGGGCUCAACCUGGGAAUUGCGAUGGAGACUGCAAGGCUAGAAUCUGGCAGAGGGGGGUAGAAUUCCACGUGUAGCAGUGAAAUGCGUAGAGAUGUGGAGGAACACCGAUGGCGAAGGCAGCCCCCUGGGUCAAGAUUGACGCUCAUGCACGAAAGCGUGGGGAGCAAACAGG